CGUGUUUAAUAUUUAUGCAGGUGCAACCCAACCGGCACAAAACGUACUUGGCAGCAACUGAAGAUGAAAUAUAAAAAUAUACUUCAAACAGCCAAUAGAAAAAAGGCUGAGGGCCGAAAAACAGGUGGGGGUCCACCACCACCACCACUCACAGAGGCUGAAGAGAUGGCCCUCAGUCAAAACAGUGGGCGACCUAUUGCUGAAGGCAUCUCUGGAGGAAGCUCAUCUGACCCAACCACCCCCCAGGACACAAGGGCCUACAUAAGAGGAUAGGUUUUCCUGAUCCGGCCCCCUGUGGUUACAAAUGCAUUUACCGCGGAUCUUUGAGAGUAUAAAGCCCACUGCACAGUGCUAUGCAUACACUUCUGGAAAAGGACGAUUCCUCUCAAGAACCAUAUCCCGUAAAGACCCACUUCAACUAUAAAUGGACGGAGAAUCAACCCGCAACAAUGAAGUUCUAAAUGAUAUCCAGGAGCUUAUAGAAGAACAUUUAAUUUCACACCAGGAGGAAGUAAUUGAACAGCCUCCUACGAUCGUUCCCCUCUCACCUACGUUGGUACCGCUGUCCCCCACAUGGUUUUUGGAGAAUC